UACGUAGGGGGCAAGCGUUGUCCGGAAUCAUUGGGCGUAAAGCGCGUGUAGGCGGCUCGAUAAGUCUGCUGUGAAAGUCCAGGGCUCAACCCUGGGAUGCCGGUGGAUACUGUCGAGCUCGAGUCCGGAAGAGGAGUGUGGAAUUCCCGGUGUAGCGGUGAAAUGCGUAGAUAUUGGGAAGAACACCGGUGGCGAAGGCGGCUCACUGGACCGGUUCUGACGCUGAGGCGCGAAAGCGUGGGGAGCAAACGGG
rnacentral:rRNA from 1 species